rnacentral:lncRNA from 1 species
UAUAUCUAUAGAAAAAGUAAUACAUUUUUGUGUUAUUGUCACACGUUCCCUGACUGUCGCUCACGCAACCGAUUAUGUUUCGGCCGCCCAUUACUGUCCCAAUACCGUUCAACGGAAUACCGUACCCAAGCUCUUAAUCUGACGGUAUGGAUUAGUAGGAUACUUGCGGUCAUUUAAUUCAAGUACGAAACGUGAUAGCAGUGACCACAUUACAAUAGAAGCCGUUUAUACAUGGAAA